AGUGAACGCUGGCGGUAGGCCUAACACAUGCAAGUCGAACGGCAGCACAGUAAGAGCUUGCUCUUACGGGUGGCGAGUGGCGGACGGGUGAGGAAUACAUCGGAAUCUACUUUUUCGUGGGGGAUAACGUAGGGAAACUUACGCUACUACCGCAUACGACCUACGGGUGAAAGCAGGGGAUCUUCGGACCUUGCGCGAUUGAAUGAGCCGAUGUCGGAUUAGCUAGUUGGCGGGGUAAAGGCCCACCAAGGCGACGAUCCGUAGCUGGUCUGAGAGGAUGAUCAGCCACACUGGAACUGAGACACGGUCCAGACUCCUACGGGAGGCAGCAGUGGGGAAUAUUGGACAAAGGGCGCAAGCCUGAUCCAGCCAUACCGCGUGGGUGAAGAAGGCCUUCGGGUUGUAAAGCCCUGUUGUUGGGAAAGAAAAGCAGCAGGUUAAUACCCCGCUGUUCUGACGGUACCCAAAGAAUAAGCACCGGCUAACUUCGUG
rnacentral:rRNA from 1 species